rnacentral:rRNA from 1 species
AGCAGCGCCGCGGUAAUACGUAUGUCACGAGCGUUAUCCGGAUUUAUUGGGCGUAAAGCGCGUCUAGGUGGUUAUAUAAGUCUGAUGUGAAAAUGCAGGGCUCAACUCUGUAUUGCGUUGGAAACUGUAUAACUAGAGUACUGGAGAGGUAAGCGGAACUACAAGUGUAGAGGUGAAAUUCGUAGAUAUUUGUAGGAAUGCCGAUGGGGAAGCCAGCUUACUGGACAGAUACUGACGCUGAAGCGCGAAAGCGUGGGUAGCAAACAGGAUUAGAUACCCGUGUAGUCCCUGUCUCUUAUACAC